rnacentral:rRNA from 1 species
UACAGAGGUCACAACCGUUGUUCGGAUUCAUUGGGCGUAAAGGGUGCGUAGGCGGUCGCGUAAGUCAGGUGUGAAAUCUCAGGGCUCAACCCUGAAACUGCACUUGAUACUGCGUGGCUCGGGUACUGGAGAGGAGACUGGAAUUUACGGUGUAGCAGUGAAAUGCGUAGAUAUCGUAAGGAAGACCAGUGGCGAAGGCGAGUCUCUGGACAGUUACCGACGCUGAGGCACGAAGGUCAGGGGAGCAAACGGG